rnacentral:rRNA from 1 species
UACGGGGGGUGCAAGCGUUGUUCGGAAUUACUGGGCGUAAAGCGCGCGUAGGCGGCUCUUCAAGUCGAUUGUGAAAUCCCCGGGCUUAACCUGGGAACUGCAGUCGAGACUGUCUAGCUAGAGUAUGGGAGAGGGAAGUGGAAUUUCAGGUGUAGCGGUGAAAUGCGUAGAUAUCUGAAGGAACAUCAGUGGCGAAAGCGACUUCCUGGACCAAUACUGACGCUCAUGUGCGAAAGCGUGGGGAGCAAACAGG